GGGGCUGUGGCCUAGCCAGGAAUGGCGACGGGCUCCAGCGGAUAAAUGAUGAACAACGGGUCUGCUGAGACCUGCUCGACGGGGCGGGUCUAUGAGGAACCGUUGGAGCACUGAUAUGUGCUCGGCAAGAACCUUUAAAGAACUGUCAAGAGCAGUGGUUCGGAGAGACCCGUCGAUCGUGAGUUCGAAUCUCACCAGCCCCA
rnacentral:tRNA from 1 species